rnacentral:misc_RNA from 1 species
AAGUCGUAACAAGGUUUCCGUAGGUGAACCUGCGGAAGGAUCAUUAUUGAAUAUUCUCGAUGGGUUGUAGCUGGCUCCUCGGAGCAUGUGCACGCCUGUCUUGACUCUAUUCAUCCACCUGUGCACUUAUUGUAGUCUCAUUCGAGGGUAGUCGGUCGGCAAGACCGGAUGUGAGGGAUGCAGCGCGAAAGUGCGGCACCUCUCUGGCUCUCGGUGGACUAUGUCUUUAUUCAUAAACCAUGUAGUAUGUUGCAGAAUGUAUUCAAUGGGCCUUUGUGCCUAUAAAAACCUUAUACAACUUUCAGCAACGGAUCUCUUGGCUCUC